rnacentral:sRNA from 2 species
GAUUCGAGCGCAGCGAGAAAACGUUGCCGCAGGCAACGACCCGAAGGGUGAGGAGCGGAGCGACGAAUAAUCCUUCCCCCACCACCA